UACAGAGGUCUCAAGCGUUGUUCGGAUUCACUGGGCGUAAAGGGUGCGUAGGCGGUGACGUAAGUCGGAUGUGAAAUCUCGGAGCUCAACUCCGAAACGGCAUUGGAAACUGCGUUGCUAGAGGGUUGGAGGGGGGACUGGAAUGCUUGGUGUAGCAGUGAAAUGCGUAGAUAUCAAGCGGAACACCAGUGGCGAAGGCGAGUCCCUGGACAACACCUGACACUGAGGCACGAAAGCUAGGGGAGCAAACAGG
rnacentral:rRNA from 1 species